rnacentral:rRNA from 2 species
AACUUCUAACGGUGGAUCUCUUGGCUCGUGCAUCGAUGAAGAACGCAGCCAGCUGCGAUAAGUAGUGUGAAUUGCAGAACUCAGCGAAUCAUCGAAUCUUUGAACGCAAAUGGCGCUCCCCGGUUCUCCGGGGAGCAUGUCUGUCUGAGCGUCAUG